AGCGAACGCUGGCGGCAGGCUUAACACAUGCAAGUCGAGCGGGCACUUCGGUGUCAGCGGCAGACGGGUGAGUAACACGUGGGAACGUACCCUUUGGUUCGGAAUAACGCUGGGAAACUAGCGCUAAUACCGGAUACGCCCUUUUGGGGAAAGGCUUGCUGCCGAAGGAUCGGCCCGCGUCUGAUUAGCUAGUUGGUGGGGUAAUGGCCUACCAAGGCGACGAUCAGUAGCUGGUCUGAGAGGAUGAUCAGCCACACUGGGACUGAGACACGGCCCAGACUCCUACGGGAGGCAGCAGUGGGGAAUAUUGGACAAUGUGCGCAAGCCUGAUCCAGCCAGGCCGCGUGAGUGAUGAAGGCCUUAGGGUUGUAAAGCUCUUUUGUCCGGGACGAUAAUGACGGUACCGGAAGAAUAAGCCCCGGCUAACUUCGU
rnacentral:rRNA from 1 species